AGAGACCUCAAGCGUUAUCCGGAAUCAUUGGGCGUAAAGCGUACCGAUAGGUGGUUAUACAAGUCAGAAGUGAAAUCUCCGAGCUCAACUCGGAAUCUGUCUUUUGAAACUGUAUGACUAGAGGGGCAAAGAGGAAGCUGGAACGAACGGUGUAGUAGUAAAAUGCGUUGAUAUCGUUCGGAACACCAAUAGCGUAGGCAGGCUUCUGGGUGCCACCUGACACUGCUAGGACGAAAGCGUGGGGAGCGAAUGGGAUUAGAUACCCCAGUAGUCCACGCUGUAAACGAUGAUGAUUAGGUGCUAGGGAGUAUCGACCCUCCUUAGUGCCACAGCUAACGCGUUAAAUCAUCCGCCUGGGGAGUACGGCCGCAAGGCUA
rnacentral:rRNA from 1 species